rnacentral:rRNA from 1 species
UACGUAGGGGCAAGCGUUGUCCGGAUUUAUUGGGCGUAAAGAGCGUGUAGGCGGCCAUACAGGUCAGCUGUGAAAACUCGAGGCUCAACCUCGAGACGUCGGUUGAAACCGUAUGGCUAGAGUCCGGAAGAGGAGAGUGGAAUUCCCGGUGUAGCGGUGAAAUGCGCAGAUAUCGGGAAGAACACCCAUGGCGAAGGCAGCUCUCUGGGCUAUAACUGACGCUCAUGCACGAAAGCGUGGGGAGCAAACAGG